GCCUACGGGUGGCUGCAGGCGCGAAAACUGCACAAUGUGGGAAACCACGAUGCGGGAAACCCAAGUGCCAGCACUAUGUGUUGGCUGUCCUCCAGUGUUCGUAACUGGGGAAGAAAGAGCUGGGUAAGACGGGUGCCAGCCGCCGCGGUAAUACCCGCAGCUCAAGUGGUGGUCAUUAUUAUUGGGCCUAAAGCGUCCGUAGCUGGCCUGUUAGAUGCCUGGGUAAAUCGAUGCGCUUAACGUAUCGAAUUCCGGGUAGACCGGCAGGCUCGGGACCGGGAGAGGCGUGAGCUACUCGGGGGGUAGGGGUAAAAUCCUGUAAUCCUCCGGGGAGGACCAGUGGCGAAGGCGUCACACUAGAACGGCUCCGACAGUGAGGGACGAAGCCCUGGGGCGCAAACCGGAUUAGAUACCCUUGUAGUC
rnacentral:rRNA from 1 species